rnacentral:lncRNA from 1 species
GUGCAAGAACAGGAACUACAUUUCUGUUUUGGGUUCGUCUAUUGAAAUUGGAGUGCAAAUGAUUGAAAUUGGACUUGUUGCUUGGCUUAUUAUUAGUGCUGGAAGUAGGAAUUGCAAAAUAAGACAGCUGGAAAACGCUUGAUUUAGAUGUACUACUCUCAGUUGGCAUGGGUAUUUCUGUAGCGAGCAAGUAAGAACAAACCAAUGCCAAAGUCCAAUACGUCAAUUCAAGACCUGAGUCUAUUCUGCGCUAUGAGGUUGUGCAUUACGCUUUGCUUAAUCAGCGAUUUAUUCAUGGGGUUUUUCUUUAAUUAAGAUAUUUGUCAAGAAAAACAAAAUAUUGCAAAACUAUUCAAAAGGAACGAGACGUCUACAUAAUUGUAACCUCGGAUGAGGACUUACAGGUCUUUGGUCAAUUAAGGUUCUUGGAAAUUAUUUCACUCAUGCCAUAGCAAUUUUAAUAGAAAUUUGCACGUGUCAACAUCUUUAAUAUACUUCUAUUUGGAGACUUCAACACUAAUGCCAGGAUCUUAUAGGCUAAAUGUUAUCCAAAUUCUACAAAACAAACAUAUAAGCCCUCAAAAUGCUUUCCAGUUUGAACAAAAUUACCUAAAGGGAAUGUGAUUCUCGACAUAACUAUAAAUGCCUUUGAUGCAGCUCUCCUCAGGAAGUCCCUUGAAUUUUAAUGUACCUCCAAGUCUUUCCUGUGACAUCAUAACACAAACAAUCAGUGGAUUUUAAGUUGAAGACAGAUACAAUCUCCCCAUCACGGGCCAUGAAGGAUGAUACAAGUUUAGGCUUUAUAGUGUUGCAAGGAACGUGAAUAUCUUUGCCAUUCUUUUCUUGGAGUCUCCUCUAAAAUCAACAAGUUCAUAUAUCCACUUAGCCAUAUUUCAUAAUCUAUGACUGCUAAUUUACCCUUCUCCGCUAUCAACUUUGGUCCACCAAGACGGGCCAUAGAUCUAUAUCUAUGGAUACCCAAAAAAUCUGAUUUCGAUACCAGAGAAUUACAGAAUUUGUUAACGCACUUGAAACGCAUUAACGUCUUGACAGGAAGCAAUGAGAAUAUUUCAAAGAUUAUUUCUUCAGGAUUCCCCUAGAAUUCUCCAUUGUUGAUUGCUCAAAGCUGGCUGGCGGCUGAAGUGAUUAAAUAUUGUAGCCCUCUCUUUUAAAGAUAAAACAAACGUUUUCUAUUAGGACAAGUUUAAGGGAAAAUUAGUCGUAAGUCUUAAUUUCUUUUUCUUUAAAAAGCUUUACUUACUUAUUACUUAUACACUAGUAUACGUACCCGCGCGAUGCGCGGAUAAUAUUAAAAUAAUUUUUUAAAUCUCUUCAUUAUGGAAUAUCGUGUUCAAAUAUGUUAAAUCAUACCACCUUUAAAAAAAAAUUCGCUUUCAUUUUAUUUCUCAAUUAAAUAUGGAAAAAAAAAAAUCUACACUCCACCCACUUUCCACUCCUACCCCCACCUCCGUGUCUAUAACCAUAUCCAUCCCCAUCCCCAUCCCCCACCCCCACCCCACCCUUAAUUUAAAAAUAAAUAAAAAUAAAAAAAUUCUACUUCCCCCUCCCUACGUCUAUAUAACAGACAAAAAAAGGCAAAACGUGCUUAGCCAUAAAAGGAAGUUAUCAUUAAUUUUAAAUUCAAAAAUUGAUUAGAAUUUUAAUUGGAUAACUAUAAAUUUUAAAUUUUAACACUAAAAUAAAAGGGAGAGAAAAUUUUGUGUACUAGUUGCUAGAAAGUAGGAUUAGGCAUAAGCAUAAUAUAUUUUAUUAAAUAGAAGAAGCCAAAAUAAUAAUAAUAAUAAUAAUAAUAAUAAUAAUAAUAAUAAUAAUUAUUAUUAUUAUUAUUAUUAUUAUUAUUAUCAAAAAAUAGUUAAAAUUUAUUUAGGACUCUUCAAUUAUGGGUUCCAAGCUUUAAACUAAUAAUUCUUUUUAAUUCUUCUAAAAAUUUAAUAUUUUUAAAUUCUAAUAUCUAAUAUCCUUUAAUUAGGAGUCCUUUGUAUAUAGGAAAGAGUUAAUUUAAAUUUGGCAUUAUCUAGAAUGAAAUUUAUUUUCAAUUCGAAUUCUAGAAGAAUCUAUAACUUAUCUUUUAAAUUCCAAGUUUGAAAAUUUGACCAUAACAAAAAAAAAAUUUAACAUUAUACUUUUAUUUAUGCCUUUUCUUUAAGAAAACUAAAGUUGUGCAUAUCCUAUAAAUAAAUUUUACCCGAAAUUCAUCUAAAACAGGAUAACUAAAACAUAAUUUCUUUAUUUAUUUUUAAAUCCAAUUUUAAAUGGCAAUGUAAAUUAACUAAAUCAUUAUACCUUAAAAUCAAAAAAAUUACAAUGAUAGUUAAUUUAAUAAUAAUGUCAAGUGACUUAUUAUUUUUGUUAUUAAUAAUUUAUUGAUUCGUAGGUUUGGUAAUAAUUUUUUCAAAACGAUAUUUAAAUAGGCCAAAGAUUAUUUAAAAAAUCAUAAAGGUGAAAUCCUAGGUUAAACUGGAAAUUACAAAAAACAAAUUAAAAACCAUGAUUUUAUUUGAAUUUGUAUUUACAAUUAUAUGUUAGCCUUAUUUUGUGGAAAUAUUGUUCCACAAAAUUAGCUUCAAAACUAAUUGUUGGUUCGAGAAGUGUGUUGACUGAUUACUAUUUAAUGGAAAUAUUAUUAUUAAUAUUAUUAUUAUCAUUAUCAUUAUCAUUAUCAUUAUUAAUAAUACUACGCUGCUGCUACUACUACUAUUUGUUUAAUCAUUACUAAACACGUAUGCUACAUAUAUUACUAUUAUCUACUAUUAUUUCUUUUAUUAUUAUUAUUAUUAUUUAUUUAUUUAUUUUAUUUAUUUAUUUAUUUUUAAAUAAAUUAUAAUUUUUAAAUAAAUUAUUUUUAGAUAUAAUUUAUAAUAUUUAAAUUUUAAAAUAGAUAAACUUAUCAAAGAGUAAAGUUUAUUCAGAACUCUUCAAUUAUGAAAUUCUAUUUUUAAGCUGAUUUAUUUUUUUUAAUAAAAGAUAAUGCGUUUUUAAAUUUAAAUAUUUUUAAUUUGUUAAUUCAAAAUUGUUAUUACAACUAUCAAAUUGUGUUCUAAAAUUGUCACGUGACUUCUCAGUAACUUGUUAGUUAAGCGAAAAAAGUUCUCUUUUAGUAUAAAACAAAUAAUAAAAUAAUAAUUUAAAAAGAAGUGUCUUAUAUUCUCAGAUUCAACUAAGAAGUAUAAUUAUUAUUCUUGGUGCGAUCGUACUGCAAAAAAAUUCAAUGAAAUUUUUUUUAAAGUUAAAUUCAUGAGUAAAAUAAAAAAUUUCUUGUGAAAAAUAAGUAUUAAAGAACAAAUAACUGCAUUAAAGUCAUAUGAAAAUAACGUCAAUAGAAUUAAAAUUAGAAAAAAAUUGAUAAAGAUAAUUAAUACAAAUUUAUCGCUUUGUAUUUGUUUUUAUUAAGAAUCAAAUGUACAAAAUCAUAAAAAAAAAAAAAAAAAUAUUGCUUACUUGAAUCCAAGCUAGAAAAGCAGAUUAAUGCAUAAUACCACCGCCAUUCAUCUACAUAAAAAGGUGAAAAUGUAAAAAAUAAAAAAAAAAAGUAAAAAAUAUGAAAAAUUCAGUAAAUAAAGAGAGGAAUAAUAACUAAUGAUCAAUUAUAGAUAACAUAACAAAAAUGCUAAUGAAGACUAUCGAUUUUAGUAGACCUAGUUUUUGAUUGAUAUAAGAUGGUGUGCUUUUUCG